AUGAAUAUGAAUACGUGUCGAACAAAAUCCAUUACCACGUCUUCCACUUCCAAACAGCAAAUCAAUCACAACAAUGGCGGUAAAUCAAACUUACCUACGGCGCAGAGUUUCUCUACCGCAUUUCUGCUGAAAACGCAACUAUACUCACUUCACGGGUAUAUCAGUAUAAAUUGUUCCUGUGCUGACACUUCCACUUGUGUAUGCUUGAGCCAUCAUGGAGGAUAAAGGAGCUGCAAUGACAAUUGAUAAGACUGACCAUGGCCAGAGGAAAAGAGGAGCUGAAUCUGAGAGGGAUCAGAGGGAUAUUAUUCCUAAGCUGGACUCUUACCCUGAUAAAGAUACUGUGCAAUUUCAUAUGACUGAUCCCCGAUCUGGGAGAGAUAUUGCACAAAUGGAAGCAUCAAAUUAUAGUGAUCCAUCAACAGAGGUAAAUAUGGAGGCUACUAUAGAUCCUGAAGAUGUUGUACGAGCUGGAGGUUUUGGUGCCAGAGAUGAUUUAAGUAGUUUUCUUCCUAUCGCAAGCGACUCUACUGACUUUGAAGCUUCUUUGCUUGAUGCGCGUGACUAUGAAGAACCCCAGGGUGAGCAACGUCGACCAGGCCUUGGCUGGAGUGAAGAUAGUGUGUCAGAGUAAACUAUUUUUCCAGGAAGUAUCUUUCAGAAUUUAUACUUACAGUCACAGACAUUAACAUGUUAAAGGUUCUUGUGAUGAUGUAAAUAUCAUGAAAGAGCUCUCCCUUUGUAGAAGAUUCUUUGUCCUGGCGUGAGAAUUGAUAGAGGGUCAUAGGUUGAUUUCCUUCUUGCGAAUACAUCCCAUUUAGGCCCAAAAUGAGCUCGCCAAUGAUCCUGAGUGUUAUAAUGUGGAAGAUAUUGCUUUACCCCAAGCUUAGCCUUCUCACAGAAAUCGAGUAUACCUUUAUUCUUGGUUAAUAUAUUUUCAAGUCCGUCUGAUCCAGAUGAAGAUGGCAAUGCAGAUGUUAGAAUUGCUAUAAGGUAGAAAACAUCUUCUGCUGGGGUCACCAAAGAUGUCUUGUCAUUCCAUCUGUUCAGUAUAAUACAGAUUUAAAUUUAGUUUUUACCCGGGAAAAAGAUUCCACUUUACGUCUUCUUUGUGAGUAGGGGAAAUUCCUAGUUCAUAAUCAACAUAAACAUUUUUUGUCAAUAACAUUGUUAUAUUGUAUGUUCAGCAACAAAUGUUGUAUAAAAAAUCAAUCUAUAUCCAUCAUCUAUUUGCUAUA